CCUACGGGAGGCAGCAGUGAGGAAUAUUGGUCAAUGGCCGAGAGGCUGAACCAGCCAAGUCGCGUGAGGGAAGACGGCCCUACGGGUUGUAAACCUCUUUUGUCGGGGAGCAAAGCGAGUCACGUGUGCCUCAUUGCGAGUACCCGAAGUAAAAGCAUCGGCUAACUCCGUGCCAGCAGCCGCGGUAAUACGGGGGAUGCGAGCGGUAUCCGGAUUUGUUGGGUUUAAAGGGUGCGCAGGCGGAGGUGCAAGUCAGCGGUCAAAUUGCGGGGCUCAACCCCGUACUGCCGUUGAAACUGCAUCCCUUGAGUGCGCGAGAAGUAUGCGGAAUGCGUGGUGUAGCGGUGAAAUGCAUAGAUAUCACGCAGAACUCCGAUUGCGAAGGCAGCAUACCGGCGCGCAACUGACGCUCAUGCACGAAAGCGUGGGUAUCGAACAGGAUUAGAUACCCCAGUAGUC
rnacentral:rRNA from 1 species